AUAAUUAAAACCAAUUGCAACACUUUAGCCCUACCGUCGCGUGAAUUAUUAGGAAAAAAGAGAAGAAAACUAGAUGGAGUCUGGACGAGUGGCCACACUCUCUUCGAUCUUCUUCUCCUCCUCUCUCUCUGCUCUUUUUCGUCUCCUCUUCGAUGACCACCCUGAACAUAACCACCUCUCUUAUUUCCUUACUCAAUCUCUCUAUAGAUAUGGUGGUCGUGGAAUCACUGGGAUGGCUGACGGAAUCGACUAUAAUGCCCAAGAAGCACCGCGCCAUCGACGGCAUCGGCAUCAUCAUCACCGCCGCCGUCACUCUUUCUCCGGAUCUGAAAUCUAAGCCUCCGAGUAGUACCGAAUCAUUGAAUCGGUGCUCUGCAAGCAAUUCCGAAUUUCAAAGGUUUUUGAGGUUGGUAAACUUUCAGAGGCUGAAGCGCGAAGCUUGGAAGAGCUUCGGGAUUAAACCCUAGGUCGAUUUAAUUGCAUUUUCAACAAUGUUGCUAUGGAUGAGCGGUUUAAGGAGGAAAGUGAAUAUUGUAAGUGUCAUUUCCACCCCUAAUAAAAGCAGCGCCUUCUUCGUCUCUCCACCCCUAAUAGCAAAAUAUCAUCCUCUACCUCGACUCUUAGAGCUGCCGCGUUCUCCAUCAGUUUGGAUCUCUUCUAUCCAUUUAUGGUAGUUUCUGGUAUAACAAAACAAGAAGAAUGGGUUUAGGUGUUCAUUAAGUGGGGUCAGAUGCAGAGAAUGGAACAUACGUUCUCCUUGAACAUGAGGAAAAUGGCUUAAGUAACCAAUACGAAAACUAUGUUCUCCCAGUAGCAGUCAAAUGCAGUUAUGUCUUUCAAGCUAUAUUCCAGGUGGCUUUCUUCAUGCAUGCGAUCAAAAUCCUACAUGCUUCUCUAGGAGGACUUAUUGGAACUUGGCCUUUAUUUUGUAUCAAUGCAGAAAGCACAUAUUGAUCCUUUCACACAAGGUAUUUGCAAGCCAUCUGCAGCUUAAGGGGUUCCGCUCGGAGGGAUGGGAAGUGGCAGCAUCUCAAGAGGUUUUAGAGGCGAGUUCAGGCAAUGGCAAAUCAUUUCGGGUGCAUGUGAUGGUUCUCCUGACAUGGCCAAUCAAUUCUCUGUAAAAUUCAGCUCUUUAUCUGUUUACUUUUUGCUUGUUCAAGACAUAGCACAUAUCUGUUGAUAUUAUCUGUCAUCUUAACUGCCGUAUUGAAUUAUUCAUUGGUACAUAAUCAUGUGUUUCUGGUUUUUUCUGCAAUGCAACUUCACGGUGAUAAUUUAUUAUAGUAUUAUGUAGAACAUGUUUUCUAAUUUAUUGCUUUUAAUUAUAUCUUCAGUAAUACCAAGCAGAUUAUUAUUUGAGGUCCACAGCUAAGAUACAGAAGCUCUACCAAGUGAAAACCAAGUUUUUCUUUUCUUUUCUAUGCCUGUAGUUUACUUUGUAUGCUGUGGUGAAUUGGGACCUAAGUUACUUUGUAUGCAAGCUUUUGAAGUCAAUCUCAGUGUUGAAGGCUUUUGAAAUCAGAGGUACAAACCAAGACCCAUGAGGGCUGAAAGAGGCAAUGAGUUGCAUAAUGGGAAGUUGAUUGUGCAGAAUUGGGGAUUUCGGAGUUGGCCUGAUGGGAUUCAGUCAAUGGCUAUCCCACUAAGUCUGCUGUGGGGUUGCUUAUAAAUUUAAGGCAUAGACACCUGCCCAAGCUAUGACCUAUAUAUGUGACUUGAAGUUAUUUUGGGUUGUCUUCAGUCUUCAUCCACAGUGUGAGCCGUCAGAAGGAUGUGACAGCGAUUGUGUUGCGUACUUGGAUUUUACUUGGAAUCUUAUUCAAUUAGUGGGGCACUCUACCUUCAAUGACGAACAAAGAAGGCUCUCCUUUUAUGCUGCAAUGUUCCUUCCACUUAGGAAGACCAUGUAUAAAGAUAGGAAAGCAAUAUGUUCCUGCCCUUGAAAAGCUUGGUACUUUGAGGUUGCUCCAGCAGGUGUCUCGGGUGUAUCAGUCGAUGAAGAUUGAACAUCUAUCUCGGAUGAUCCCAUUUUAUGACUUUUCUGUUGUAGAGAAGAUAUAUGUGGAUGCUGUUAAACAUAACUUCAUAGCUAUGAAAGUCGACCAUAUGAAGGGUGUUAUGAUGUUUGGUAACUUGGAGGAUUAGAAUGGGGCUGCUCCAGCUAGAAGUGUUCUGGUGUGGAUCCUAAUAUAAAUUUGAAAGUAUGCUUAGGCAGCAGCUGUGGUUGAUAGUCUGGCCAUCUUUUAGAAGUGAAGGUGCUGCAGUGCUGUUGUUUUGGCUUACUCUUGAUUGCUGCUUGGUUAUAGAUGAUGGGUUUCAUAUUGUAAUUUGAUAUUUUUCGGUUCAUAAUAAUUGCUAUAGAUGGUACUAGCUUUGGUGUGCAAUUCACACCAUUUUUUUUUUUUAAAAUGAAAUAUUCUUUUGCGACGGCAAAGUAUCCGUCGCAACCAAUUCA